GGAGUCGGUUACGUCCCGUCCUCCGAGUCGGCGACUUCCGCUCUUGCCUUCCGUGAACAUUGAUACAAACAUCAUGGGACCGUUUCCCUCAUACGCGUGCUAUGUACGCGAGGGCGCCUGUGGUUUUACUGUGACUAAAAAAGCGCGACCAAAGCAGUCGUACGACAUGAAUUUGAAAGCAUGGGAUAACAAAGUAGCAGCCUACGGGUUACCGUUUCGGCUUUUGUUGGUUUUAAAGAUCUGUGGGAGAUUAUGGAUUCGCAUGACCAGUACGUGGUUUCGGCCCCGUGCUUCCGGCUUGUGGGUUAUCCAAUUCACUUGUCGGCUUGCGCUUUCCAGGAAUGAAGGAGGGUUGUUCGGGGGAGAACGUACUUGGGCGUGAGAGGUGAAAUUCUUAGACCGCCCAAAGACGAACUACAGCGAAGGCAUUCUCCAAGGAUACCUUCCUCAAUCAAGAACCAAAGUGUGGAGAUCGAAGAUGAUUAGAGACCAUUGUAGUCCACGUCACAAACGGUGACCUCCACGAAUUGGGGAGUAUUUGGUUGCGGUGAAGCAAGCUCGCUUGCUGAUCCCGCCAAAAGAGAAUA
rnacentral:rRNA from 1 species